UGCGCGUGUGCGUGCGUGCACGGGUCGGUGCAUGUGUGCGUGCGUGGGUCGGUGUGUGCGUGCGUGCGUGCGUGCGCGGGUCGGUGCAUGUGUGCGCGUGCGCGUUUCCUGAUGCUGUUGCCAGGCAACGCUCCAGGGGCCCUAAUCUCCUGCACCUGCCUCUGUGCCGCACAUUCAUCUGGGACAGAGUCUGUUGGAGUGAAGCCUGAUGGCGUGCGUGCGUGCGUGUGUGUGUGGAAUGGACCAGCUCUGAGUCUGUUUGGGUCAGCAGCAAUGUUGGGUGGGGUCAGGUCAGGUCAUCUGGGCUAACUGGAACAUCAAGCUUCUGUGUGUCGGGAACGGAGUGUGAACUCCACCCACCGUCUACAUCAGCAACCCUCUCCUCCUCAAACACAUUUGUCUUAAGACUGGUAACACACACACACACACACACAGAUACAUUAUGACUGGUAACACACACAUGCACACACGCACAUUUGAGUCUUAGUGUUUGUAUGUUGCACAGUUCUGAUUGAUGCCCGCGUGUUAGUUCAUGCCAUAACAGCGGGACGGCUGUAGAACUUUCUGUAGGCUCAUCGUCUGCUUUUACGCAGACUACAGACUGCCCUCGAGUUGACCAGGGGCAGUUACCUACAAUCACCAUGGCAACGGGCCUGUCCACCACCAUGUCUGAACAGCUGCAAAGCAAACUAGUCAUGCCAUCAGUGGUGCUUUCCUUAGUGGCUGUACAUUUGGGACCCACACAUGAGCUACCUUAUUGCGUUAGCAUGUAGCGUAGCUGUCAUCAGAGCUACCUUAUUGCGUUAGCAUGUAGCGUAGCUGUCAUCAGAGCUACCUUAUUGCGUUAGCAUGUAGCGUAGCUGUCAUCAGAGUUGCCUUAGCAUGUAGCGUAGCUGUCAUCAGAGUUACCUUAUUGCGUUAGCAUGUAGCGUAGCUGUCAUCAGAGUUACCUUAUUGCGUUAGCAUGUAGCGUAGCUGUCAUCAGAGCUACCUUAUUGCGUUAGCAUGUAGCGUAGCUGUCGGUCUGUAGGGGUUGAAUGGCUGCUGACCUUUAGCCUUGCGAUAGAAAAGGAGAAGGCUAAGGACGAGGGAUCCCAAAACACUAGAGCUUAUCUGCGCUGUUGUGGCUGUUUGACUUAAUUAUUAUUUUGUGUUUUUGAUUGUUUUCUGGCAUGCAUGUGUUUUGGGUUUUUGCUCUGUUUACGUUAGCUGUGUAUGGGGCAGAGAACUCUGGGUAAUGUAGUUAUGAGAGUUAUGAGCCUUCACUGCCUCUGCCUUUGAGGGGGUCCAGCAGAUUCCCUCUCUCUCUCUCUCUCUCUCUCUCUCUCUCUCUCUCUCUCUCUCUCUCUCUCUCUCUCUCUCUCUCUCCCUCUGUCUUUGUCUCUUUUUAUCUGUCUGUCUGUCUUUCUCUCUUUCUGCUUCACUGUAAAUGCCAACAGUCAUCACUCGGUUAUUUCCAGGCUUCUGUCUUGUUCUCUGCUUAUUUGCGUGCGUGCGUGCGUAGCUCCUGUCUUGCUCUCUGCUUAUUUGCGUGCGUGCGUGCGUGCGUGCGUAGCUCCUGUCUUGUUCUCUGCUCUGUGUGGAAGUUGGUUUUGGGGUCUAUGGGACUUUUCAGCGCUGCAGCUUAAUGAGCCGUGUGUGUGGAAGGGUCGUGUGUGUGUGUGCUGGGUGAGCCGUGUGUGUGGGACUAAAGGUGUGUGUGCUUGAUUGAUAUUUGUUUGGCUGUUUUUAUGUGUGUAGGGGGUGCUUGAAUAGUUUUAAUUUGGUGUAUAUGUGGGGGGUUGAUUGCAUGAGAAUUUUCUGUGUGUGUGUGUCAGCAGUGCAUUAACGUAAAGGAUGGAAACGUGGUGAACAGGGCAAAUCUAAUUACUCUAAGGGCUCUGAGAAACAGCUCAUUGUGAGAAAGCCCUCUUUGCCUCAGCAGAGUUGCUGCUGGUCAUUUCCGUUUCCACCACUAGAGGGUGACGUCUGCACAUGCACUGGUGUGUGUCGACCCCCUGCACCCAACAGCAGUCUGAGGCGUCUCCCACUCUAAACCACCCCAGUCCAGAUGUGCUGUUCCUCAGCAUUAAAGACUCUACUAAACUCCGCUGGCAUUGCGUUACCAUAGCGUUGCGUUAGCAUAGCGUUGGCUGUGCCAUCUGGGCAGCGUUGGUUGGCAGUGCCAUCUGGGCAGCAUUGUAACUAAUUAUUAAUCCAUUGGCAACAGACUGAUGGAGAUUUGACCAAUAACAUGAAUAAUAUCAAAUAUUACUGAUGACAAUGAAAGUACUGAUCAAAGUCAAACAAAUCAGGCAAUCUGGAUGGCAUACUGUGUUAGUUUAGAAGAUAAAAAGGUUGAUUUCCUUGCUACGGGGGAAGCUGCUUGCUUUAGUAGGAUUUGAAAUGCCCAAAUGGGCCUGUGGGGGCGCUGUUCUCUUCUGUGUUCUCUGCUGUGGAUGCUCUCUCUUUUAUACAGCCGGCAUAACAUGAACAAUGCCUCCUGAUUUUACAACAAACUUUAUAUGCAAAAUUGAUUAAAUUUUCGAUUGAUGAAGUGUUCGAUAAUGUAAAAUAAAGCCUAUUUUGAUACCACUGA